GGGGACCUCGAGUGCUGGGUUACAAACCUGGCUGUUGGGCUGCCUAAAAAGCAGUCUAUAGCAAGGGCCGGGCAAGACCGGUGCCAGCCGCCGCGGUAAUUCAAUUUUG
rnacentral:rRNA from 1 species